UUUCCGAAGUGUAGUUAAUAAACAACGGAAUUUAAUCGUUUUGUUCGCCUUUACUACUAAGCUGUGAGGGCAUUUCAAAGACAUUCAAAGUCUUUCAUCUUUAGGAUGAAGGUUAGGGCUCUUAAGGUCUCUUCACGGACAAUUAUUAAACACCAGAUGGAGCCAUACAGCUUUAGUCGUUCCAGUUUCAAAUUUCUUGCAACACCGCUGCAGUGGGUUUCAAUCAGAGGGAGCUGCCAUUAAGGUUGUUAAAGAUCUACCGAAGCAAAGCCGACUUCAAAGAGGCAAGCUCUAUCGUUCCCUCGACCGUUGGGUCUACGUAACCGAAACGGACCCGUAGUUUUUAUCUGGCUAAGGACGGUCAACUCGGCAAAAUUCUGUCGCUACAACAAACACUACGAUAUCAAGGCGGCGAUAUUAGACCUCAUCUUACUGAAAAUACGCUCAAGAUUAGCUAAUGAAUACCUAACCUCAAUACCAAGGGCAUCCAGCUGCUUCAGGAUAAGAUCUAUGUUGGUUGCUUGAGCACAGCAAAAUCGUAGAAAACAUUGAAACUGAUGAUGAAGGAAAAACCUAAAAACUAAUGAAAGGAAACGAGUCGGAACUCCGUUGCUUCUUUUCACUUUACAGCUGCGCAGUCGUGAAGUCCCUAUGAAUCGAGGUAAAUCACUAAAUGCCUAGUGAACUCCCCGCUAUUAGCAUAGUUUGGUUUUUUACUAGAUAUAGGGAAGUCCAUGCGUUAAGUUUAAAAAUCUUACCAGAUAUCGGUCGAUAAAGUUGUUUGGAAGAAGACGAGGUGGAAUUUAUACACUUUCUUCGUCACUCCUUCGCCUUUAAAUACCUUGAAAUUCACAUCAUCCAAGAGUCCUAGUUGGAAGUGAAAUAUAUAUGAAACAGAUUUUUAAUGGGUUCAAGGCGCUUUGUCGAUAUAACCGUACAAUUGAAAAGAUGGCGCUAGUGAAAAAAUGGAUAAAAAGGACUUUCAUGUGUUGAUAAAAUAUUGCCUUUCGAAGGGAAAAAUAGAUUUAAAGCAAAAACUUGAUGAGGAGUUUCCGGACACUGACCCAGGAAAAUCAAACAUCAAGGAUUGGUAAGCUGAGUUUCGACGUGGUGAAAUGAGCACCGAAGACGGUGAGAAAGCUCUGUGCAAAGUGGACCCCGUCCGAGCGCAGCCGUGUUUGGAGAUGUUAAGGCGUAAUAAAUUCCAGUUUUGGCAUCGGUAUGUGGCUAUGGAUGAAACAUGGCUCCAUCAUUUCACUCCGAAGUACAAUCGACAGUCAUCCAAGUGAAUUGUACAAUAGUCGGGUGUCAAGGUUUGUACCUUGCGAUGCGCAUGGAACAAUUUUUAUUGACUGCCUUGAAAAGGGAAAGGCCAUCAAAAGCGACUAUUACAUAGCGUUAUUGGACCGUCUGGAGUACGAAAUCGCCGAAAAACAGUCAUAUUUGAAGAAAAAGAAAGUGCUGUUUCACCAAGAUAAUGCAUCGUGUCACAAAUCUGGCCUCCAGCUACUAUUUCCUGUUCUCAGAUCUCAAAGAGAAGCUCGUUGGAAAGAAAUUUUCGUCAAAUGAAGAGGUGAUCGCCGAAACUGAGGCUUAUUUGAAGCAAAAGACAAAUCGUAAGGACAAAAGUACAAAAAUGGUAUCGAAAAGUUCUAGGGUCGCUAUAAUCAGUGUAUCACCCUUGAAGUGAACUGAGUUGAAUAAAAAAAACGAAUUUUGCAAAAAAA